rnacentral:rRNA from 1 species
AUUGAACGCUGGCGGCAGGCCUAACACAUGCAAGUCGAGCGAGCGGCGGACGGGUGAGUAAUGUAUGGGGAACUGCCCGAUAGCGGGGGAUAACUACUGGAAACGGUGGCUAAUACCGCAUACUAUAGGAUGAGCCCAUAUGGGAUUAGCUAGUAGGGGGGGUAAAGGCUAACCUAGGCGACGAUCUCUAGCUGGUCUGAGAGGAUGAUCAGCAACACUGUGACGGCGACACGGCCCAGCCUCCUACGUGAGGCAGCAGUGGGGAAUAUUGCACAAUGGGCGCAAGCCUGAUGCAGCCAUGCCGCGUGUAUGAAGAAGGCCUUAGGGUUGUAAAGUACUUUCAGCGGGGAGGCGUUACCCGCAGAAGAAGCACCGGCUAACUCCGUGCCAGCAGCCGCGGUAAUUC